rnacentral:rRNA from 1 species
UACGGGGGGGGGCAAGCGUUGUUCGGAAUUACUGGGCGUAAAGGGCUCGUAGGCGGCCAACUAAGUCAGACGUGAAAUCCCUCGGCUCAACCGGGGGAACUGCGUCUGAUACUGGGUGGCUUGAAUCCGGGAGAGGGAUGCGGAAUUCCAGGUGUAGCGGUGAAAUGCGUAGAUAUCUGGAGGAACACCGGUGGCGAAGGCGGCAUCCUGGGACCGGCAUUGACGCUGAGGCGCGAAAGCCAGGGGAGCAAACGGG